rnacentral:rRNA from 1 species
ACGGGGGGGGCAAGCGUUGUUCGGAAUUACUGGGCGUAAAGGGUUUGUAGGUGGCCGGCUAAGUCAGACGUGAAAUCCCUCAGCUUAACUGGGGAACUGCGUCUGAAACUGAUCGGCUCGAGUGCAGGAGAGGAACGCGGAAUUCCAGGUGUAGCGGUGAAAUGCGUAGAUAUCUGGAGGAACACCGGUGGCGAAGGCGGCGUUCUGGACUGCAACUGACACUGUAAAACGAAAGCCAGGGGAGCAAACGGGA